GACGAACGCUGGCGGCGUGCCUAAUACAUGCCAGUCGAACGCACAGUUUAUACCGUAGCUUGCUACACCAUAGACUGUGAGUUGCGAACGGGUGAGUAACGCGUAGGUAACCUGCCUGGUAGCGGGGGAUAACUAUUGGAAACGAUAGCUAAUACCGCAUAAUAUUGAUUAUUGCAUGAUAAUUAAUUGAAAGGUGCAAUUGCACCACUACCAGAUGGACCUGCGUUGUAUUAGCUAGUAGGUGAGGUAACGGCUCACCUAGGCGACGAUACAUAGCCGACCUGAGAGGGUGAUCGGCCAAACUGGGACUGAGACACGGCCCAGACUCCUACGGGAGGCAGCAGUAGGGAAUCUUCGGCAAUGGACGAAAGUCUGACCGAGCAACGCCGCGUGAGUGAAGAAGGUUUUCGGAUCGUAAAGCUCUGUUGUAAGAGAAGAACGGGUGUGAGAGUGGAAAGUUCACACUGUGACGGUAUCUUACCAGAAAGGGACGGCUAACUACGUG
rnacentral:rRNA from 1 species